UUUACCCGUUGGAAAUGACCAUUUUUUUUUGUAGUGAUUGGGUUUUCGGUUCACUUAAUCCUCUAGAGUUCGGAGUCUGCUUUUAGUUACACAAUUAGUUGCGUCCCCUCCUCUUCACUAGUGGAAUCAAUCCAAGUCCUCGAAGUGACUUUCCACUUCUUCUAUUCUUUCCACUUUGACAGCGAAGAUUUCAUCUCUCUCAUUUUCACCCCUAAGUUUUUUUUUGGGUAAAAAUGUGAAGUAUAUUAAUAUAUAAACUGUUUACAAAUCGGUAUUAACUGAAAGCGGAUCAACUAGACAAAAUAGAAGAACCCAUGGAAAAUGGUAACCAAAGCCUUGUAAAGGGAUACAAUCAAAAGGUGUUGUUGGAGAGACUCUAUAGAUAAUAUCAGUCAGUAGCGAGGAAUGUUGAUUCCGGUGUUGUCGGAGUGAUUUUGAAUUAAUUUACCGCAUUACACAUCGGAGAGGUUUAAAAGGUUGUUCGAAAACGUCUAGUAUUUUGGACCGAUUGAUAUCUAUAUUUGUUUGUAUAUGAUUUCGAAUCUUUCCAAAGAAAAUGCAGAUCUUAAUCUCUAAGGGGCUCAAAUUAAAAAUAUGCAAAAGUUGGGGCAAUUUGUUGACAAAAAAAAUCAUAACUUUCUUUCAGUUGAUAACUCCCUUUCGUUAAGAAGUUGAACGCUUGCCUGUUAUUGCAAAAUCACCCAUUUGAUUGUUUGUUUUUCGAAAACAGGGCGAGAACUUCUUGGUCGUAACUCACAAGUCCAUUAUCCGUGCAUUGAUAUGUACGGCACUAGGGCUAGGCCCGGAAAGGUUUCGAGCCAUAGAUGCGAACAAUGGGAGCAUAUCGGUGUUUAAUUUCAACGUAAAUGGAGAAGCCAUGCUCCACUCUCUCAACAUGACGGUCCACAUGUACACCGAUCAUAAAUACAUAUACUGAUACUAAAUUCCCUUUGCAUCCCUUUUGAUUACCCAGGUGCGAAUGCUCGCGUAAGGGUGAAACAGCCAUUUCACAAAAACAUUUGAUAGCGUUUUUUAUUGCAAUUCAAUUCCUAUAUUCAACGUAAA